UUCAGGGUGGCUCCUCCCCAGGGCACAGGGAGGAGCCAUCAGAGGAAGGACCCUGCUGAGGAAAAUCUGAGCAGUCCCCACAGGGUGCCACUUCCCUCCCAAGGGUCCGGUGCCAGUUUCCAUGGAAACCAGGAAAGAAUCCCAGCAGUGAAGAAACAAACCGGGCGGGUCUCAGCAUUUGGAGGAGAAAUCAUCAUUUCAGGCAUCCCCCCUGGAACGAGGCCUGCCUUGCCCAUCAUUUUAUAUCCGGCACAUCAUGCAUCACCUUGCAUACAGUAAGCCAUCCAGAAAUGAUUAAGUGAGCGUGAAGGAACAAACGGAUGAGUUUGAAAAGCCUACCAGGCCUCCACAGCCUUCCCAUCAGCCAGCCUUUCGCUCCCUCUGCCGAUGAGGUGCCUGCAUCCACAGAGAGAACCAGACAUGGCCAGGCCUAGAACCAAACAACUGGACCAAAAAGCCAUCGCUGGGCAUCACCGAGCAGAGAAGAUGAAGACAUUCAGAACUGAUAUCAAAUGAUACCAGCUCACACCUGCAAAUAUUAAACCAACAAAGCCUGUUGUGUUUUUUAAUCAGGAAACCUGAAUCCCAAAAGGGGUCAAGAGACUCUGAAAUGGGGCCAUCAGCUGGAAUCGGCUUAACCUGAAGUAAAAUUAGA